AUUGAACGCUGGCGGCAGGCCUAACACAUGCAAGUCGAACGAGUAGCGGCCGGGUGAGUAAUGUCUGGGAAACUGCCCGAUGGAGGGGGAUAACUACUGGCAACGGUAGCUAAUACCGCAUACAAUCGGAUGUGCCCAGAUGGGAUUAGCUAGUAGGUGGGGUAACGGCUCACCUAGGCGACGAUCCCUAGCUGGUCUGCGAGGAUGACCAGCCACACUGGAACUGAGACACGGUCCAGACUCCUACGGGAGGAAGCAGGGGGGAAUAUUGCACAAUGGGCGCAAGCCGUAUGGAGCCAUGCCGCGUGUAGGAAGAAGGCCUUCGGGUUGUAAAGUACUUUCAGCGAGGAGGCGUUACUCGCAGAAGAAGCACCGGCUAACUCCGUGCCAGCAGCCGCGGUAAUUC
rnacentral:rRNA from 1 species